GCCUGGGUGGCUCAGUUGGUGGAGCGUCCGACUUCGGCUCAGGUCAUGAUCUCUCGGUUCGUGGGUUUGAGCCCCGCGUCGGGCU
rfam:Felis catus isolate Cinnamon breed Abyssinian chromosome D3, whole genome shotgun sequence.